GCUGUUGACUCCCCUAGCUAUUCCAGGAAGCUGUAGAACUAAACUUUCCCUUCACAUCCCUCAACCAACAUCACCUGUUCGUUCCUCCUCCUCCACCUCAACAACCUACCAGGCCAGCCCGCCACCUCCCUAUGGCAGCACAUGUUGCCAGGGCACUCUUGGAACCGGCUUCUUCUCCUCCUGACUGUUGACAGACAGAACGCCAUGCCAGGCUUAGGAGCUUGCUGUAUGUACACCCAGGCCCCAGUGUGAAAAAUGUCAGCAGCCCUGGAACUGGAGUUACAGACAGCUGGGAGCUGCCAUGUGGGUGCUGGAAAUUGAACCUGGGUCCUCUGGAAGAGCAGCUCUUAACCACUGAACCAUCUCUCCAACCCCAUAAAUGUGCUCUUGCUUGAAAAACUGCAUGGCUCCUAUAACCUACUAAACAAAACCUCUACCCUGA